CUCUACUUAUUUUCUGUUUCUCUAUGAGAGCCUUAGCCAGACACAGAGAUUGUGAAGCCAGUCCAGGACUCACUCCCCUCUUCAUUUCUGGAAGGAGCAUUGAUUUGAGUGUGGCUGCUCUAGACAAGUAGCAAAGCCCUCCUUGGCCUGGUGAGCCUCAGUCUCUGGGGGGAGGAGGGACAGGGAUGGCUCCUCUGGUUGCUUCUCUGCUUUGGUCUGGUCCUGUCACUUGGAUUCUGUGGACCCUCCCCUAUCUUUAGUGGGCAGUGAUUACUUAGAGAAUUACAUAGAGAAAAGGCAUUUGCAUAAACCAAUUAAUGCCCAGCCUCAGGAUGAAUCUGUCCUUUCAAAGGGCCACGGUGACCGUGUUCUCAUGCCAGCUAGGGUAGAAUAUUUGGGUAACUAUUUCUGCCUUGAAAGCAAACCAUCUGAAAUACAAAUCUGAUCACUCUCUUGCCUAGAGAUGGUAUCCCAUCCCCUGUAACUCCCUCAACCCUAACAGAUUUUGAUUCAAGUCAGGAGUAGCAUCAGGAUUCUGUGCUUUUUUAACCAAUCUUCCCAGGUAGGAUAACUGAUGUUCUAUUUACAUACAUAGGCUUGGAGAGAUUGAGGAAUUUCCCAGGAUGGGGGACCUUCAGUGCUAAAAUUGGGGAAUUCCUAAGAAAAUCAGGAUGAGCUGAUCAUCCUAUUUCUGGGGUUUUAUGAUUUACAGCAAGGUUCAGCAAACAUCGGCCACAGACUAAUUCAGGCUACUGCCUGUUUUUGUAAAUAAAGUUUUAUUGAAACUUAGCCAUACUUGUUCACUUACAUAUUGUCUAUGACUGCUUUUAUGCUACAGUAGGAGAGUUGAAUAGUUGUGACAGAGACUCUAUGACUCACAAAAUGUAAAAUACCUAUUAUUUUUCCCUUUACAGAAAAAGACAAAUGCUGACCCCUGAUUUAUGGAAUGAAAUACAGCAGCCCAAUCCCUUCAUCAUGAGCUGCCCCCUUCCUGUCUAGCCUCAUCUUGACUAUUUCCUUCCUCUCUCUGAUCUCUCAAGUCAUUCUAUCUACUCAUAGCUCCAGAAAAGUGCCACAUGCUCUCCCUCGUCCUUUUAUUUGUCUCUUUUUUUCCCUGGCUGCUCCCUCUGCCUUGAAUGCUUUUCUCCCACUCUGCUUGGCCAAUUCCUUUUGGUCCAACAGGACACAGCUCAGGCAGUCCCUUCUCUAGGAAGUCCUCCCUGACUUUCCACCGUGCCUCUCCUCAUCCCCUCCCCACCCCAGUCCCACAGAUUCAGUGCAGGGGGAGCCUCCUGUGUAAACCUUAACUGUUGCUGCUUUGCCUCUUGGUUUCUCUCAUUGGGCUGUGAGACUUUUCAGGGAGAACACCAUGGCUCAUCCACCUUCAGACCUCCCUCCUUUCAUUUGACUCCUGGCCUGGAAAAAACCUAGUAAAUGAUUGUUGAUUAUGAUUCUAUAAAAUAGACAUAAGAAUUUCCUGGGAAAUUUAUCUGUACUGUGUGUCUUAGCUAGAAACUUAGAUUAUGACUCCUGUUCAGAACUCAACUCUCUUCAUUUCUAUAAGAUGCAUUAGUUUGGGGUGUAAACAACGAGCAAGCCCCCCGCCCCUGGCCCCUAACCUUGGCUUUGAAACCUUUGGAAGUGGAAGAGGGAUAAAUAAUAUUCCCUCCAAUGUGGACAUAUAUGGUAAAUAUUGACCAGGAGAGAUGACUAUUUUUGGUAAAUAUAUUUUUGGAUUUUCAUAAUAAGAAUUGGGUCACAAUAAAAUCUGAAGGAUUUUUUUUUUUCCUGAGAAUAAUUUUGUUUUCUUGGAAAACUCAAAGGAAAUAUGGGAAUCCCCUUUCUUUCCCAUAUUUUUUCCAUUUUUCCCUGGGCCUGGUUGUCUCCAAAUAUACCAGAUGUGAUAAUUUUUGGAGUAAAGCGAGUUAUGUUUUAUGGCCCUAAAUUAAUGAAAUGGCUUUAGAUCAGCAAUGACAUCCAAAAGGUACUUGAAGGCAAGGUCAUUUUUCCAAAAAUUUGUUUUUUGUUUUAAGAGGGUUUUUUUUUUUUCCUCUGUUGCUUUUAUAUUUCCACAAACUUUACCUCUCCAGAUGAACAAUUCUACUCUCCGAAUUAGGAAAAGAAUCCUGAGUACAGUUCAGCUCAGAGUGCUGGGUCUCCAUUUGCCAGGACCUUCCAGGGAAAACCUAGGAGGCUCCUUGAAGGGCUGCCCUGCCGGGGGCUGGAGGGAAGCCUGGUAAGCUUCUGAGAAGGCAGGCCAAGUCAGGGGACCAGUUCUGAAGCAAGGGCCCCUGGGAGUCAUCACACAGGCUGACUGGUAGCACCAGAGGAAGAGAUUCCUGCAUGAGAUGGGUUUGGAGACCUUGCCCACUUUCCUCUGAGCAGUGGGUUUGGCAGGAAUUGGCAAUUGGUUCAUAUUAAAGCUUUGCCCUCAGACCUUUUGUUCCUAUAGUUCCUGUGGACAGAUCUGCUCCCCCUUUCUGUACGACACAAACCUCUGAUGAAGAGGAAGCCAGGAUAAUGGGAAGAUCAUGAUGCUGGAGUUUGGGUCUGAACAUGUCCCAGAUGUCAGAUCCAAGGCAAGUUUUUGUUUGUUUGUUUUAACCUUCUCAACCCAUGACCCUUCUUCUGUAAAAUGGGUAUAAUAAUUUAUGUCUUAGGAGGUUAAAUCUUCAGCGAGAUCACAUAUGGAGAAGUUUUCCAAGUUCUUGGCACAUGUCAGAUACCCUAAGACAGUCUUGGGUGGGAUCUGAGUUCUAAGCAGAUGGACAUAGGCUCUGUGUAGAUGGGAAGCUCUGCCUUGCUCUGGAGAGCACUGAUUUGUCAAAGAGGUCGAGGAGGAACUCAGUCUCACACCUCCUUUUUCCCAGAGACUUCCCAAAGCCUACAACUAAGCUCCUCGGCCAGGAGCUCUUGGAUCCCAGCUAGAACCGGGAGUUAGACCCUGAGGCCCUGGACAGUUCUGGAUUUAGGCCAUCCCAAAGGGAUGUUCCUUAGGGGCCUCUCUUCAGUCAUUGUGUCUCUCCUACAUUUCAUGCUUCCAGGAAGAUUUCAUCUGCCCCCAGAACUUCCAGUGCUCCCUAUGAUCUAAGGUCACCCAAAUCAGAUCUCCAACCUGACCUCUCUUCUAAGCUGGAGACAAAUAGACCCCCUAUUUGCUGGAAAGCUCCCCUGUGCCAUGGCUACUGGGGUACCUCAAGCUCAUGUCCAAAACUUCACUCAUGGUCUUCCUUCUCUACAGUGUCUCCUCUUAUGUUCCCAAUAUGAGUAAAUGACAUUGUCCUUCGCCCUCUUGAUGAAGCCAGACAGUGGAGAGUUAUCCUAGGCCUCCUCCCUUUCUGGUCGCCCUUCAUAUCUAGUCAAUCACAGAGUCAUUUAUUCAGUCAUUAAUUCGACAAACAUUUAUUGAGUGCUUGCUAUGGGUAAAGUGCUACACUGUGUCCUGGAUUAAAAGUGAUGAACAAAAUAAAUAUGCUUUCUGCCACCUCUGGGGAGUCAGACUUCAAACAGAUGAACAUUCAAAUGAAUACAUACUUAUAAAUUCUGAUAAAUGUUCUAAAGGAAAAGUGUGGGUGUUUUAAGGAGUAUAACAGGAAGACUAAAUUUAGACUGGGAAGUCAAGGAAUGUGUCGUAGUUAGGAAUCCUUUGAUUACAAGUAAUAGAAACACAAUUUGAACCAGUUUAAGCAAAGAGAAAGAACUGAUUGAGAAGAUAGUGGGGUUGCUCCUAGAAGCAGAAAGAGCUGCCAGUCCAGGCUUGGAGAAGACCUCAAGGGGGCUGAUGAGAUCCAGAGGCUGGCAACCCUCUGGACUCUCUUUAUUCCUCUUCAUCACAUCUCUCUGAGUUGGCCUCUUACUCUCCUACUGCAGAGAAGCUUUCUCCACACAUGAGAGAAGUAGCUCAGGGACAUAAGACCAAAAAAGCCUACCUUACAACCCCAAAGAGGAAAAUAUGAGGGGAAGACUUCUAUUGAGAGAAAUGGGAACCUAUGAUGUUAGUUCAUCCAGGGUCAGUGCCCACAGCCAGGCACUGAGGGCCAUCGUCUCAAGAAAGGACAGGUAAGUUCAUCAGGAUAUGUCUUUGAGGGAGUGAUAUAUAAAGUGAUAGGAUAUCUAAAAGGUAAAUAAGGUUAACCAGGUAAUACAUGAGGAAAGAACAGUCUAAAUAAACAUUUACUCAUUUAUGUAGCAAAUAUUUAUUGACUGUUUACACAUGGCUUGGGUACACAACUGAGGGAACAAGAAAGACAUAAUGCCUGCCCUUUUGGAGUUUAUAAGUACAAAGAUGUUAAGCAGGAAAAACUAGGUCUCAGAGGACUAUAAGAAGGUCCAAGUGGCUAGAGAACAUUGAGUGAAGGAUUAACAGCACAAGAAAAAGGUGGAGAAGAAAGAAGUCAUAGCCUUCACAUCCUUCAAGGCUAUCCUGAGGUUUUGGAUUUUUCUCAUAAUGCAGUGAGAGGUCACUGAAGAGAUACUAUGAAGUAACAUAACUUGGUUUAUAUUUCUAAAAUAACUUUUAGGAACUUUAAGGAAAAGUAUAGGAUGUUUUAACGAGUAUAAUAGGAAGACUAAAUUUAGACUGGGAAGUCAAGGAAUGUGUCGUAGUUAGGAAUCUUUUGAUUACAAGUAACAGAAACCUUUGUCAAAGGGAUUGUAAAGGAAUGAAAGUUUAAGGACACCAGUUAGAAUCCUAUUACUAUAGGUCAGGCAAGAAAGGGUGAUAGACUAAAAAGACAUAAAGAAGAGAGGGAAUAUGGGAUAUAUCUAGAAGUUAGAUUAAAUAAUACCUGGUAGUAGACUGAUUUUGAGGGCUGCAAGUGAGGGAGGCAAUGACUCCCAGAUUUCUCUUUUGGGUAACUUACUGGUUGAAGGUGUCACUUACCAAGAUGAGGGGACUGCAGGAGGAUGACAUUAGAUUAGGGAAAGGGAAGAGUUUAGUCUUGAACAUGAGAUGCCUAAGUGACAUCUAAACAUAAUGUGAAGUUGCCAGGGGUGUGUGUGUCUGUAUGUGUGCGUGCGCACUGUACAGAAUGGCAUAUAGAGACAUGGAAUGGAUGAACUCAGUUGAGAAGAGUGUAAAGUGAAGAACAGAUAUGGGAUGGAGCAGCCCAGGAGAACUUCAACAUUUAAAGAACAGAUAGAU
rnacentral:lncRNA from 1 species